UACGUAGGGUCCGAGCGUUGUCCGGAAUUACUGGGCGUAAAGAGCUCGUAGGUGGUUUGUCGCGUUGUUCGUGAAAACUCACAGCUUAACUGUGGGCGUGCGGGCGAUACGGGCAGACUUGAGUACUGCAGGGGAGACUGGAAUUCCUGGUGUAGCGGUGGAAUGCGCAGAUAUCGGGAGGAACACCGGUGGCGAAGGCGGGUCUCUGGGCAGUAACUGACGCUGAGGAGCGAAAGCGUGGGGAGCGAACAGG
rnacentral:rRNA from 1 species